UAAUACGAAGGUGGCAAGCGUUGUUCGGAAUCACUGGGCUUAAAGCGCGCGCAGGCGGAAAUACAGGUGUCAUGUGAAAGCCCUCGGCUUAACCGAGGAAUUGCGUGGCAAAUGGUACUUCUUGAGGCAAGUAGGGGUACAUGGAACUCUUGGUGGAGCGGUGGAAUGCGUAGAUAUCAAGAGGAACGCCAAAGGUGAAGACAGUGUACUGGGCUUGUCCUGACGCUGAGGUGCGAAAGCGUGGGGAGCGAACGGGAUUAGAUACCCCGGUAGUCCACGCUGUAAACGAUGUCUACUAGGUUGCGGAGGUUCUGACGCCGUCGCAGUCGUAGCAAAAGUGUUAAGUAGACCGCCUGGGGAGUACGGUCGCAAGGCUA
rnacentral:rRNA from 1 species